ensembl:lncRNA
UGAUGACAAACAAUCAACGUCAUGAUUUUUGAGCAAUAUCAUGAUAAGUAGAAGAUGGAUAAAUUCGUCCAUUCCAGAUCAAUCAGGAGGAAGAAACAAGGUCUCUGCUUUAAAAUGACUCAUUUCUCCUCAGUUGUGCUGAUUUCUAGCAGGGUAAAAACACAAGAUAUUCCCAAUAUUAUGUUAAGGAGAAGAUUUCCACACUGGAUGUCAGAGGAUAAUAUUUUGGACAUAUAUCAACUAAAAAAUCAAAUGAAGUCUCUGAAGCAUUUUGAGAAAAGUCUGCCAGUACUGCUGAUGUUAUGCUUUUUGACUUCUGAUGACUUCAGUUCAAGUCCCAGUUGGGCUCCUGAUCAGCAGGGUGGCUGA